GUUCCACUCUUGUUUCCUCACCGUCUCUCUCUCCCCCUCCUCGCGGCCGUCCUUCGCAGGAACGAACCCCAAACCCUUACUGGUUCAGACCCUCAAACCGAAGUGACUAAAUCCUCGUCUACUUUUCCCCUAUAGUACAUAGUAAAGACUUGUACUUUUGUAGAUAUCAAUGGAUUCAGAUCAGGGGAAGCUAUUUAUUGGAGGGAUUUCUUGGGAGACAAAUGAGGAGAAACUGAAGGAGUAUUUUCAAGGAUAUGGUGAAGUCGUUCAGGCCGUUGUUAUGAGAGAUAAAAUCUCUGGGAAGCCCAGAGGGUUUGGCUUUGUUGUAUUUGCAGAUCCGAACAUUCUUGACACGGUUCUCCAGGAUAGACAUGUUAUUGAUGGCCGCACGGUUGAGGCUAAAAGAGCUUUAUCAAGAGAGGAACAACAGGUUUCAAGAGUUGGAAAUUCUGGUGGUGCAAGAAACUUUGGAGGUGGUGGAAGUACCAGGACCAAAAAGAUUUUUGUUGGGGGUUUACCACCAACACUGAGUGAGGAUGGAUUCCGACAGUAUUUUGAAGCUUAUGGAAUGGUAACUGAUGUGGUAAUUAUGUAUGACCAGCAGACCAACCGUCCACGUGGAUUUGGGUUCAUAUCAUUUGAUUCUGAGGAUGCAGUAGAUAGGGUUUUACACAAGACCUUCCAUGAUUUAAAUGGUAAGCAAGUGGAAGUGAAGCGAGCUCUUCCUAAAGACGCCAAUCCUGGUGGGGGAGGCCGGUCUAUGGGUGGUGGUAGCAGUGGAGGAUAUCAGGGUUAUGGGUCUUCUAUGGGAAAUUCAAGCUCUUAUGAUGGUCGAAUGGAAUCCAACAGGUACAUGCAGUCACAAAAUUCUAGUGGUGGUUAUCCAUCAUAUGGUUCGUCUGGGUAUAAUGCACCAGGAUACGGAUAUGGUCCAACCAAUAAUGGAAUGGGUUAUGGCUAUGGAAAUUAUGGUGGUCCUGCUGGUGGAGGGUAUGGAAACCCUAAUGGUCCUAAUGCCGGAUAUGGUGGCCCUGGAAAUGCUCAAAGAAGUUCAUGGGGUUCACAGGCUCCUUCUGGAUAUGGCUAUGGAAGCUCUCAAUGGGGUGCUACCGGUGGCGGUGGUGGCUCUGCUACUGGUCAACCACAAACUGGAGCUUCUGGUUAUGGGAAUCAAGGUUAUGGUUAUGGUGGAUAUGGUGGGCAUGAUGGAACUUACGGAAACCAGGCUGCUUAUGGUGCUGUUGGCGGGCGUGCUGGAAGUGGUCCAAAUGGUAGCUCUUCUGUAGGAGAUCUUCAAGGUGGUUCUGCUGGUUAUAUGGGGGGUGGUUAUGGUGAUGGAAGUGGUAACUAUGGAGGUGGCUAUGGUGCUGCUUCAACUCGAUAAGCUCAGCAGCAACAGUUUAUUGCUUGUUUCUCUCUACGUUCCUUGCUGGAGUGUCUUAUAGUUGCAUGAGAUCCAAUUUGUGGUGCAGAGCAUGGAGAUGCUCGUGUGCUAAGGUCGGUGAAGUGUCCACUCAGCUAAAUAUGGGCAUAAUGCUGCAUGUCUUUAGUAUCUAAUGGAAACAUAGAGGUGGUUGUGGCUGGGUUGGUCUGAUGCUUCACCUUCAAACUUCUAAUAGAGGAGGUCCUGGAGCUACUAAUGGGAAUGUCUCAAUCUUCAUUCAGGUUUUAGUCUCACGAAGAAUCAAUGUGCUAACUUUGUUAUGUUGGGGGCAACAGUCUAGCGCUCAUGAUAUGAUGUAUAUGUUUCAAAGUUCUAACUUCUUGUUAGUCUGUUUGCGUUAUGGAGUAGGAGAUAGAAUUGAUCUCUUAAAUUUCUUGACAAUGUUAGCAAACUGGUCACCAUUCUAGUAAUUCAUAGGGUGUCUUUUCUGAAGCAAAUACAGUUGAGAUUCACUGCUUUUUCAUUUA